rnacentral:rRNA from 1 species
AUUGAACGCUGGCGGCAGGCCUAACACAUGCAAGUCGAGCGGAUCGGCGGACGGGUGAGUAUUGCCUAGGAAUCUGCAUGUUAGUGGUGGAUAACGUCCGGAAACGGGCGCUAAUACCGCAUCCUCUCACAUUCGCCUAGGUCGGAUUAGCUAGUGGGUGGGGUAAAGGCCUACCAAGGCGACGAUCCCUAACUGGUCUGAGAGGAUGAUCAGUCACACUGGAACUGAGACACGGUCCAGACUCCUACGGGAGGCAGCAGUGGGGAAUAUUGGACAAUGGGCGAAAGCCUGAUCCAGCCAUGCCGCGUGUGUGAAGAAGGUCUUCGGAUUGUAAAGCACUUUAAGUUGGGAGGCGUUACCAACAGAAGAAGCACCGGCUAACUUCGUGCCAGCAGCCGCGGUAAUAC